UUGUAAUUGGCUAAAACUUCCUGGAGAGCCGGUGGUAAAAAAAAAAAAAGAUAAGCGAGACAAUUUCAACAUAUGUCUGAGAAUUGCAGUAGUUUUGCUGCAGGUGUCAGUGUAUCUAAGACAGAAUAUUUGUGUUAAAGAUUUGGGUGGUAACUUGCAGCAAAGGAGCAGUUACAGUCGACCUAAGGACUUUGCUGCUAAGAAGGAUAUGGCAAUAUGCGUUGAUCGAACGUUGUGGAGAAGUUCCGUUGUGUUUCGCCGAUAUUGAAAGUUAUUACGAGCAAAACUAAGUGUCGACAGUGCAGCUUUAUUUUUCGUAAAAUUAAAGGGAAGUCAUGGAGAAGAUAAUUUUCCACCCAAGAUAAUCCAAGAAUGGAUCAAGAACUUUUACUGCUGAUGCCUAACUUCAAAAUCCCUCAAGGACACACUUCCCGGCUAGAUUAAAGUGAAGGGAAGUCUUUGAGAACAGUGCUUUCACGGAGAAGAUCAUUUUUCACCAAAGAUAAUCCAAGAAUGGAUCAAGAACUCUUACUGCCGAUGCCUAACUUCAAAAUCUCUCAAGGAGACACUUCACUGAAAAUAAACUUCUUGGCUAGGUAAGGUCUCUGGCAGGAGCAGAGGUAAAACAGGCGAUUUGUUAAAGAUUUGCAAAAGCGAAGACCCUCCCUGUAGUGAAGUAGUCGCUUCGUUCUAGUUUUGCCGAUUUGUGGAAGUUUACUGCAAUGUCCCCUCGGCUGGAAGGAUUCUUCCUGUUGCUGCCCGAUAAGGGUACAGUACAGUGCUGCUGGUGAAGGACACCCACGGGUGUACUCUGAGGUCCUAAGCUACAACUAAUUUCUUUAGAAACGGGCAAGUUUUCUGCUGCUGUUCUAGCUGAGGGACAUGUACGUACUUCAACAAAUUUUGUGCGCUUAAUAUGGUUAAUCUCAAGGCACGAAGCAAAUGUAGUUUAUUCAGCUGGAAUUUAAUUUGUAUUAUAUAGGAUAAUAAAUGUUUACGAAAAUAAAUUUCGCUAUGUAUCCG